AGGAGUAUAGUUCAAUGGUAGAGCAACGGUCUCCAAAACCGUCGAUCUGGGUUCGAAUCCUAGUACUCCUG
rfam:Acidaminococcus fermentans DSM 20731, complete genome.